UUAAAUGUAAAUUAAAGCUCAACAAUAUUGGAACCAAUUCAGUAUGAACUAAAAAGACUAAGCACUAAACACAGAAAAGUAAUUACUAUCUUAUUAGUCUCCACCACACUUUGAAAUAUCAAUUAAUGGUCUUGGUGAUGAUGAUUAAAAGAAUAAUUUGUACA